AUAUUAUCGGAUAUGCCAUUUUGAUUUUGUAUGAAGAACUGACGUUCGAGGGAAUGAAUGACGCUUAUAUUGUUUCAAGCUUGCAAUGAAUCACCAUCAAAGAAAUUGAAUAAAAUGAUGUAAUGAACUUGCCUCACAAUAAAACUUCAAACGGCUUUUCUGGUGUCGGGGUGUCUUAUAUCACUCCUUGGUUAUAUCCGAGUCUUCGAUCCAUCAGUAGCAAAAGUCAAGUUCUAUUGAACAUUCGUGAUGGAAAUUCUUACCAACUACAGGAACAGCACUUGUCGGAGGCAUGGUCUCAGCGACCAAGAGAAGGAAGACAGUAAGAGAGAGAAGAACCGUUAUACCAAGACUGAUCUUUUCACCCGAUUCCGGAGGCAAGAAGAAGCUGAGUAGCGCCACCAUCGACACGAAUGUGCAAGGUGAUUCAACAUAGGAAAGACGCCAAAAUUGGCUGCGGCACCGGUGGCUUGUUUGUGAAGGGGACUCGAGUCAUGGAAUUAAAGGAACAAAUUACUGAGGGGAGUGAGGUGAGAAGAAAUAGGUGAACACCUAUCAAGGACAAAAAAAACCCCGGACCAUGCCACCUUUUUCUUCACACUCUAUCAUUACCCCUAUGUAUAAAGUGAGCUUGCAUGUCUUUUUUAUUGCCAUCGAUGUUUCCACGUGUUCCGGACUUGUUUGUGACUAUAUCUAAAAUGAAUUUCUUUCGAAUUGUUAAUUUGUGUAAGAAUGGUCGAUAAUUAAGAUAUACGACUUGAUUUAUCCAAUCUAAUUAAGGCCAUGACCUUCAAUGCCCUGUUGAUUGGCCUUGAUUUCCCCUCUCAUAGGCCAUUAGGCCUUAGAUGUGCCCUUUUUGUUUUCCACAUCUGCGUUGUAACAUAGAAUGUGCCCCACUUAAAAUGUGGCCUUGUCCUAAAAAAUCGUAACUUAAGACCUGAAGAAGAUCUGAAACUAAACUGACAGCUUAUCAUUGUCCCGCCCGUGAUAAAACGUGGAUCGAAUAAAAUUGAAUGGAUUUCUUUUCCAAAAUGUAUCUAAUUAGCUACCAAAAGAAUAUUAGAAUAAACAGAACUGAACAUGGUUCCAUUACCAUACAUAAUAUGAUACGAUGGUUUCAUAUAUAUGUACGAUUAUACACGUCUCUUAAAUUAUUGUCAGAAUUUGCAAAAAAGUAGUGUUAAUUUUUUUUUUUAAGGAGAUUAAUAUAAAGAAUAGCAAAUGAUCAAUGUUAACACGCAGGUCCUUAACACAUUGGGAGGAAAUUGUCAUUUAAUGAACAUUUAAAAUAAAUGUGCAAAUGAAGUAUACUGAAUGAAAAGAUGAAAUGAAAGUAUAGCAGUGGUUAUGAAUAAGUAUGUGUUGUGAUCGUACUAAUACAUCGACUCUGGCAAGGCUAACAACAGUGCAGUUAAACCAAUCUGUAACAACAUGAUCAUGUAGCAUUCUUUUGAUUUCGGCUCUAGUAUAAUUAAUAUUACGCAUCGAAUAAUGCAACGUAUAAAGUAAGGAAAAUAAUAUUUUCCAGCCCAAAAAUGUGUUUCCAGUAUAUUGACCAUCAAAAAUGUAUUAAUCCCAUUUUUAGUACAACGAAGGCAACAUUACACAGGGGAUUUAGAAUGAAAAAGGAUCAAAUAAUAACGAAUAGUUUGCCAAAUUAAUUUUAAAGUGGCGCAUGGAUAUAUAUGCCUCUGACUGAUGAAGUAAACCGAAGGUGUGGUGCGACAAAAGAACUUGUGCUUUUAGUAUGGAGGGUAUUUUAGUUAGCGAAAUGUAAAAGAUAAUGAAAUAUGUAACGUUUUGGGGUUGGUAUUUCAACUUAUUUUGUUAAUAUUAAUUGCCAUUUCAAGGUUAAUUAUUAUCACAGAACAAUUUUGUAUGCCCCGUUUAAUUAUUCGUCGAAGUAGUAUUCCAUUUUGGGGGCUAAGUUUUAGCUUAAUAGGCUACAAGAGGCAUUGCACAUUCGAUGUGUGAUCAGUAAAGUUAUAUAAUUGCUCUCUACCAGGUCCCCGACCAUGGGCGGAAAUCCCAGGGGGGACAGGGGGUACGCGUCCCCCCUACCAGAAAUAGUAGGGGGGCAUAAUAUCAAAUUACCUUACUUUUUGGGUGAUAACCAUUUUUUUUCUUUUUUUUGCUUGUCAAAUUUACUUUUGUCGAAAUUACCUUACAUUUGGGGUGAUAACCUUUUUUUUUAUUUUUUUAUUUUUUUUUGCUUGUCGAAUUUUUCAGCCCCUGGUCCCCCUACCUUUAGGGAGAGAUUUCCGCCCUUGCCCCCGACUUGCAAAGAGUUGCGAUUGAUCCGAUCAACCACAACUAUGAAACGUCAACAUCUAAACUGCAUGCUUGCUCAAAAUAUUUUCCAGAUAUAAUGUAUAUUUAUACAUUCAUUGUUUUCUUGAAAUUUUCAGUGUGCUUUUACUAAUAAAGGGUAUUGUGCAAUUUUUGUGUCGUAGAAAUUAUUUAAUUGUUGGGUUUCCACAUAACUGAGGUUGAUCGGAUCAAUCGCAACUCUUUGUAAGACGGGCCCUAGAUUACAGUUUUGUACAGAUAAACGCUUUGAUAUACAAAUCACGAUAAAAACAUGUAAAUGAGCAGUCCUAA